CAGAAAAAAUUUGAAAUGAUUAAAACUAUGUAUAUGUGAGUCCACAGAACCAAGACUAAUAAUUAUUAUUAUAGAAAAAAUGUAUCAAAAUUCACAAUUCGUUAAAGAUGUUUAUUGUGAGACUAGUUUCUUCUUCUUCUUCCUCUUUAUAAACAAUUCUGCUUGUUCAUUGGCAGAUUUAUACCUCUAUUCCAGUAGGUGUGUUGCUGGAAUUAAUUGAAAUGAAUAUAAUAAAACGAACGGUAAAUAUUUAUUUAUUUUCGUAACAAAAGGUAUUUGCGCUUAGGUCUCUCUCGAAAAAGGGCCGAACGAUUUGUGUGUGAUUCGUUCACCCGCUGUGUCGUGACUGUUAAGAAAAGCCACAAUCGAUUAUAUCGAUGUUAUGCCUUCCUACAAUAUGGUCCGGAGAGGACAAUAAAUCACUCCGAUCUGACGCAUAAAAACAGACAUAUUUCUGCAGUUUUAGAAACGAAUGCCAUGUCCCAAAGUGAGUUGUUGACAUAAUGGUCUGAUAUGGUAGUUAAUUUAUGAGAACUUCAGUUUGUUAAACUGCCACUCCAAAAACAUAUGGUCAGGGGAUGCAUUCGUUUCGUAAAACCAUGUCUUUCUUACCGUCUGUUUUGUAUAUUAACGGUGACUUUAUAUGACCCAUAUUAUUUCGUUUUGAGAAAAAAUAUUAAAA
rnacentral:lncRNA from 1 species